UACGUAGGGUGCAAGCGUUAUCCGGAAUUAUUGGGCGUAAAGAGCUCGUAGGCGGUCUGUCGCGUCGGCUGUGAAAUCCCGAGGCUCAACCUCGGGUCUGCAGUCGAUACGGGCAAACUAGAGUAUUGCAGGGGAGACUGGAAUUCCUGGUGUAGCGGUGAAAUGCGCAGAUAUCAGGAGGAACACCGGUGGCGAAGGCGGGUCUCUGGGCAAUAACUGACGCUGAGGAGCGAAAGCGUGGGGAGCGAACAGG
rnacentral:rRNA from 1 species